rnacentral:tRNA from 1 species
GGUCUCGUAGCUCAGCUGGUAGAGCGUGCGCUGUACAACGAUCGCAGGCGGCGUCCAUGCAUGGGUUCGAAUCCCACUGGGGCUA